CUCUCAUUGUUAAGUGAAAGGAAGGCAAAAAGUAGAGAGAGAGAUCGGAGUAGGUGAGGGGAGGACGGAGAGACAGGGAGUCAGGGUUUUAGAGAGAGGAAAAGUGCAAAAUGGACGGUAGGGGAGGUUGCUGCAUAGCGAGGUACGGUGGGGGUGUAUAUGAUAUGUCGAAAGUUAAUCGGAUAAUGAUGAGAUUCCGGCCGAUUGCCCCCAAACCGGCCAACGUCUGUUCAGCCUCAUGUGGGUUAUCCCCGGAGAUUAGUGAGGUCAGUCCGAGGUCUGGCAGAGGAAAGAGAAGGUUUAGCACCGCAAACGGGAAUAAUAGUAAGAGGUGUAAUAAUGGUAGCAAUACUAAGAAAAGAAAGGGUUUGAGCGAGGAGAAGGGGUAUGCGGUGGUGACUCUGCCUCUCCUACCGGAGACUCCUGACCGUAAGGACACUUCCGAAAGGGAAACACCGGUAGGCUUGUUUUCACCAAAGCAAGCAAAGAGCGUUCCAACCUGGCUUAGUUUCGAUAGCAAUGGGAAGGGUCAUGAUGGGAUGGUGAUAUCCGGAGGUUUUGCCAUGUCAGAUUAUACGGUUGUGAUGCCUCAGGUGAUGAGGGUGGUUAUUGGGUCAUGCGUAACAGUGGAAUGUAUUACGGACGCGUGGGUGGAUGCGGAUGAAUUGGGCUGUACGGACGAGGAGAGAAGGAUGAAUCUGGAGAGGGACACGUGUCCCGGGAUGAUAUCUGAUGGUUUUGGAACGAUAACGUGGACGAACGAGGCGUAUAGGAAGAUGGUAGACGGAGGAGGAGAAGGAAGAGGAGAGGUGGUGGUGUGGCUGGUGAUGAAGGAUAAAGUGCCAGUGACGGCGGCGCUAGGGAGCAAACGAGCGUUCACGUGCAGGGUGAGGGUGCUAAACCAGAGGACGUGUGGGAAUGGGAAGGAGAGAAGCUCGAUCACUGUACCAUGUGACGUGUGGAGAAUGGAGGGUGGUGGCUUUGCAUGGAGAUUAGACGUGAAGGCUGCUCUCUCUUUGGGUCUGUAAAAAUAAAAAUAAUAAUAAGCGAGAAAAGGCCGAAUUCCCCAGGCCAUCUGUCUAAGCAGGUCAUGGUAGGCUGGGUUUGCUUAUGCAAUAUUUAGCUUAUUAAUCUGAGUAACCUAUCCUUGUGGAUGAUAACGUCAAAAUUGUGAAUAUUAAGCUUUGCUGUUUUUUUACUUUCAACUACUGUUCAUUAACUUUCCCCUCGCUCCCUCCCUCUGUUUAUAUGAAUAUGGGUGUAGGUGUUUGACGUUCAGUGAUAUAGCAUUUGUAAAAAGAUGAUAAAAGCAAGUAGUUGAUUGUAAUGAUACUUAUGAAUCUAAAUGGUUGCUUUUAUUUAUUUUGGAUGGAUUGAAAAGAAAGAGAGAUUUGAAAUUGAAAUGGGAAAAGGUGUAGAAAGGUAGCUGAAAGGUGGAGGGAAUCCAGCAGGCUUCCUCUGAUUCUGACAAUUUACGCCCAGAGAACAAAUGGGGGACAUGUGUGCGCACAGCUUUUUACAUGCACCCUGAACUGUGAGUGACGGCUGCUUUAAGAAGAUGUUCGCCUGGUGGAAACUCGGACAAUCCUCUGAUGAAGCUGCUGUUUGAUUUCUUUCCUGAUUCGCAUACGAGAAAGUGGUAUGUUCUACUAGGAGGUUGUCCUUUCAAGUUCUGGCGAUCUGGAUCUGUGUUCUCGGAUGUAUGGGGUAGCUGAUUUCAUUUGUAUUUUUUUUUUAAUUUUUU
rnacentral:misc_RNA from 1 species